AAAUCUCUUCAAGCCGAAGGUC
rnacentral:miRNA from 1 species